rnacentral:rRNA from 1 species
AAACCAGCACCUCAAGUGGUCAGGAGGGUUAUUGGGCCUAAAGCAUCCGUAGCCGGCUAUGUUAGUUUUCGGUUAAAUCCAUGUGCUCAACACAUGGGCUGUCGAGAAUACUACAUAGCUAGGGAGUGGGAGAGGUAGACGGUACUCGGUAGGAAGGGGUAAAAUCCUUUGAUCUAUUGAUGACCACCAGUGGCGAAGGCGGUCUACCAGAACACGUCCGACGGUGAGGGAUGAAAGCUGGGGGAGCAAACCGGAUUAGAAACCCUGGUAGUCC